CCUACGGGGGGCAGCAGUGGGGAAUAUUGCACAAUGGGGGAAACCCUGAUGCAGCGACGCCGCGUGAAGGAAGAAGUAUUUCGGUAUGUAAACUUCUAUCAGCAGGGAAGAAAAUGACGGUACCUGACUAAGAAGCCCCGGCUAACUACGUGCCAGCAGCCGCGGGAAUACGUAGGGGGCAAGCGUUAUCCGGAUUUACUGGGUGUAAAGGGCGCGUAGGCGGUGCAGCAGGUCAGAAGUGAAAGCCCGGGGCUCAACUCCGGGACUGCGUUUGAAACUGUUGAACUAGAUUGCAGGAGAGGUAAGUGGAAUUCCUAGUGUAGCGGUGAAAUGCGUAGAUAUUAGGAGGAACACCAGUGGCGAAGGCGGCUUACUGGACUGUAAAUGACGCUGAGGCUCGAAAGCGUGGGGAGCAAACAGGAUUAGAUACCCGUGUAGUC
rnacentral:rRNA from 1 species